rnacentral:rRNA from 1 species
UUCCAGACUCCUACGGGAGGCAGCAGUGAGGAAUAUUGGUCAAUGGCCGAGAGGCUGAACCAGCCAAGUCGCGUGAGGGAAGACGGCCCUACGGGUUGUAAACCUCUUUUGUCGGGGAGCAAAGCGAGUCACGUGUGACUCAUUGAGAGUACCCGAAGAAAAAGCAUCGGCUAACUCCGUGCCAGCAGCCGCGGUAAUACGGAGGAUGCGAGCGUUAUCCGGAUUUAUUGGGUUUAAAGGGUGCGUAGGUUGUUUUAUAAGUUAGCGGUGAAAUACCGAUGCUCAACAUCGGGGCUGCCGCUAAUACUGUAGGACUAGAGAUCGGAUGCAGCAGGCGGAAUGUGUAGUGUAGCGGUGAAAUGCAUAGAUAUUACACAGAACACCGAUUGCGAAGGCAGCUUGCUAGGCCGGAUCUGACACUGAUGCACGAAAGCGUGGGGAUCGAACAGGAUUAGAUACCCUAGUA